AUCGCUUCUCGGCCUUUUGGCUAAGAUCAAGUGUAGUAUAAUGCAGAAAUCACAUGUAACCCCAA
rnacentral:snRNA from 1 species